AUUGAACGCUGGCGGCAGGCUUAACACAUGCAAGUCGAGCGAGCGGCGGACGGGUGAGUAAUGUCUGGGCAACUGCCUGAUGGAGCGGGAUAACUACUGUAAACGGUAGCUAAUACCGCAUACCAUCAGAUGUGCCCAGAUGGGAUUAGCUAGUAGGUGGGGUAAGGGCUCACCUAGGCGACGAUCCCUAGCUGGUCUGAGAGGAUGACCGGCCACACUGGAACUGAGACACGGCCCAGACGCCUCCGGGAGGCAGCAGGGGGGAAUAUUGCACAAUGGGCGAAAGCCUGAUGCAGCCAUGCCGCGUGUGUGAAGAAGGCUUUCGGGUUGUAAAGCACUUUCAGCGAGGAGGCGUUACUCGCACAAGAAGCACCGGCUAACUCCGUGCCAGCAGCCGCGGUAAUAC
rnacentral:rRNA from 1 species